rnacentral:tRNA from 1 species
GCCCUCGUUGUCUAAUGGUUAUGACGUCAGACUUCUACGGUGCGGGAGAAACCUAGUCACGUGACAUCUGGAGGCUGUGAGUUCGAGUCUCACCGGGGGCU